rnacentral:miRNA from 1 species
AAAGUUGGUAGUGAUUGCUGAUG